GUUAGGAAUAUUGGACAAUGGGCGAAAGCCUGAUCCAGCCAUGCCGCGUGAACGAUGAAGGCCUUCGGGUUGUAAAGUUCUUUAGCCGAUGAUUAUAAUGACUGUAGUCGGAAAAUAAGCCCCGGCUAACUUCGUGCCAGCAGCCGCGGUAAUACGAAGGGGGCGAGCGUUAUUCGGAAUCACUGGGCGUAAAGCGUGCGUAGGCGGUUUUGUAAGUUAGGAGUGAAAGCCCAGGGCUCACCCUUGGAAUUGCUCUUAAAACUGCAAGGCUCGAAUCUCGGAGAGGAUAGCGGAAUUUCCAGUGUAGCAGUGAAAUGCGUAGAUAUUGGAAGGAACACCAGUGGCAUAAGCGGCUAUCUGGACGAGUAUUGACGCUGAGGCACGAAAGCGUGGGGAUCAAACAGGAUUAGAUACCCUGGUAGUCC
rnacentral:rRNA from 1 species